rnacentral:rRNA from 1 species
AGCACGGGUGCUUGCACCUGGUGGCGAGUGGCGAACGGGUGAGUAAUGCGUCGGAACGUACCGAGUAAUGGGGGAUAACGCAGCGAAAGUUGUGCUAAUACCGCAUACGCCCUGAGGGGGAAAGUGGGGGACCGCAAGGCCUCACGUUAUUCGAGCGGCCGACGUCUGAUUAGCUAGUUGGUGGGGUAAAGGCCUACCAAGGCGACGAUCAGUAGCGGGUCUGAGAGGAUGAUCCGCCACACUGGGACUGAGACACGGCCCAGACUCCUACGGGAGGCAGCAGUGGGGAAUUUUGGACAAUGGGGGCAACCCUGAUCCAGCCAUUCCGCGUGAGUGAAGAAGGCCUUCGGGUUGUAAAGCUCUUUCAGCUGGAACGAAACGGUACGCGCUAACAUCGUGUGCUAAUGACGGUACCGGCAGAAGAAGCACCGGCUAACUACGUGCCAGCAGCCGCGGUAAUACGUAGGGUGCGAGCGUUAAUCGGAAUUACUGGGCGUAAAGCGUGCGCAGGCGGAUUGUUAAGCAAGACGUGAAAUCCCCGGGCUUAACCUGGGAAUGGCGUUUUGAACUGGCAGUCUAGAGUGCGUC